CCUACGGGUGGCAGCAGUGGGGAAUAUUGGGCAAUGGAGGCAACUCUGACCCAGCAACGCCGCGUGAAUGAUGAAGGUCUUCGGAUUGUAAAGUUCUGUGAUGGGGGAUGAACACAAUGACGGUACCCCAAUAGCAAGCCACGGCUAACUACGUGACAGCAGCCGCGGUAAUACGUAGGUGGCAAGCGUUAUCCGGAAUGACUGGGCGUAAAGGGUGCGUAGGUGGUUUAGUAAGUUGGCGGUGUAAUUCCGGGGCUUAACCUCGGCGCUACCGCCAAAACUAUUAGACUAGAGUGCAGGAGGGGUAAGUGGAAUGCAUAGUGUAGCGGUGGAAUGCGUAGAGAUUAGGAAGAACAUCAGGGGCGAAGGCGGCUUACUGGACUGUAACUGACGCUGAGGCACGAAAGCGUGGGGAGCAAACAGGAUUAGAUACCCCUGUAGUC
rnacentral:rRNA from 1 species